GCCGGGCGUGGUGGCGUGGGCCUGUAAUCCCAGCUACUAAGGAGGCUGAGGCAGGAGAAUCACUUGAACCCAGAAGGUGGAGGUUGCAGUGAGCCGAGAUUGCGCCGUUGCACUCCAGCCUGGGCAACAAGAGUGAAACUCAGUCUCAAAAAUAAACAAAUAAAAUUAAGUCUUAUUUAUUUAUUUAUUUAUUUGAGACAGAGUGUUGCUGUGUCGCCCAGGCUCUCAGCUCACUGCAACCUCCGCCUCCCUGGCUCAAGCAAUUAGCCUGCCUCA
rnacentral:SRP_RNA from 1 species